rnacentral:rRNA from 1 species
GUGGCUUAAUUUGACUCAACGCGGGAAAUCUUACCGGGUCCGGACACACUGAGGAUUGACAGGCAAUAUAUGUGACUCUUCGGAGUUUGCAUUGUUAAAUAUGCUAGUCCUUUCAUGAUUAUGUGAUAGGUGGUGCAUGGCCGUUCUUAGUUCGUGGAGUGAUCUGUCUGCUUAAUUGCGUUUCAAAUUACUUAUAAGGUAGCAAUACGCGAUGAAGCUUUCAAUAGUCCUCACGGAUUCACUUGAGUCUCUCGCUUCGCUAUCCUUUCNAAUGCAACGAACGUGACCGCAACCUCUUGUUGCCUUCGUUUAACAUCCUGCAGCUCGCUGUGGGUACUGAGGGCUUCACUCGGUGACUUUGGGCUGAGCAAUCGGUCUUUU